rnacentral:tRNA from 1 species
GUUUUAAUAGUUUAAAUAAAACUUUGGUCUUGUAAACCAAUAAUGAAAUGUUAUUUUCUUAAAACU